rnacentral:lncRNA from 1 species
UUCUAUUCUCUUUUUUCUAGGUAAAACCGAGAACUCGAUUGCGGGUGAAGCCUUAGUUGUCGCUGGUGGUGGAGGAAAGGCGUAAUCUGACUAUUGAAAGAAAGACAAGCGUCAUCUUCUUCUAUAACUAUAACACCCUUUCUCUAGUCUCUAGGCCUUAGUCUUCUAGCUUCUAGUUUUCACUAUUCUCCUUUAGCUCCUAACUAAGCUGAUGUAUUGGCCGAGUCUGA